rnacentral:rRNA from 1 species
GGUGUAAGAAACUCUGGUGGUAUACGAUGGUUCCGCGUCUGAUUAGCUAGUUGGUGGGGUAAUGGCCUACCAAGGCAACGAUCAGUAGCCGGCCUGAGAGGGUGAACGGCCACAUUGGGACUGAGACACGGCCCAAACUCCUACGGAAGGCAGCAG